rnacentral:misc_RNA from 1 species
AAGUCGUAACAAGGUUUCCGUAGGUGAACCUGCGGAAGGAUCAUUAAAAAUUUAUAUUCGGGAAUUCGUUUCGUUUUCCCGGGUUUAUUUGUAUUCAAAUCCCACUCUUUAUAAAUAUAUUAAUUAUAUAAAACAAAAAUAAAAAAGAAAACUUUCAACAACGGAUCUCUUGGCUCUC